rnacentral:miRNA from 8 species
ACUGUAGGAGCAGCACUUCACAA